rfam:Flavobacterium sp. LM5 Flavobacterium_sp_LM5_contig4, whole genome shotgun sequence.
ACCGCAGACCGCCUUAUCGUCGUUCCGUUUUUGGAAGGGAGGAAAGUCCGGACACCACAGAGUAGCAUAGCGGGUAAUUCCCGUCGGUUCCAAUUCGUUGGGAUUAGGACAAGUGCAACAGAAAGUAUGUACAGGUAAUGCUGUAGUGAAACCAGGUAAACUCUAUGCGGUGAAAUAUCAAGUAUAUCAGCAUUUAAGGGCUUCUCGUUCGUUGCUGAAGGGUAGAUAGCUUGAACUUAUGAGUAAUUGUAAGUCUAGAUAAAUGAUAAGGGUUUCGAGUAAUCGAAAUACAGAAUCCGGCUUAUAGGUCUGCAUUUUUU